rnacentral:ncRNA from 1 species
CUGACGGACGCGUCCGGGUCAAUUGCGGACUGCAACACCCGAUCUCCCUUCCGGUGCCGCCGUCGAUGGCGGUUUCGGAGGGGGAGCGCGUCACCAUCAG